rfam:Aureobasidium subglaciale EXF-2481 unplaced genomic scaffold scaffold_14, whole genome shotgun sequence.
GGGGUUGUGGUCUAGUGGUAUGACAUCUUCUUAGCAUUGCUUCUUGAGCAUUACUGAGUGGAGAAGGUUCUGGGUUCGAUUCCCAGCUACUCCA